ACCCAUCCUGAUGUCCGGGUAACAGGAAUUUCUGCAGAGUGAUUGUCAAUGACAUUUUGUGAAAUUUACAAUUCUAGCUGUCUAGUUUUGGCGAAGAUUACCCAUCCUGAUGUCCGGGUAACAGGAAUUUCUGCAGAGUGAUUGUCAAUGACAUUUUGUGAAAUUUACAAUUCUAGCUGUCUAGUUUUGGCGAAGAUUACCCAUCCUGAUGUCCGGGUAACAGGAAUUUCUGCAGAGUGAUUGUCAAUGACAUUUUGUGAAAUUUACAAUUCUAGCUGUCUAGUUUUGGCGAAGAUUACCCAUCCUGAUGUCCGGGUAACAGGAAUUUCUG